AAAAAAAGGGAAGGACUGACAGGAGGUGGGUGUGACCUAAAAAUACAAAAAUGUAUUACACUGCAAGUCUCGCAGCCACCCUCAGUAUGAAUGGUGGAGCUGAAGUGGACAGGUCUGGUGGAGCAAUUAAGAAAAUGAUUGAGGACACAGAGAGAGAGAGUGAGAAAGAGGGAGAAAAGACCCGCACAUGGUUUGCGGUGUGUUGAGGAUUUUUUUUUUUGUGUAUUUUUUUGUAUUUUUAGUACGCACUGCCAAAGUCUGAAAGUGAAAGAAAGAAAUGUGUCAGGUCAAAUAUUUGGUGCAGAUACGCGCCUCGCAAAUGUUGGCUGAGUUUAAAAAGAAACAAAACAAAAAAAAGAAAAGAAAAAGACGUGCAAAGUUUGUGCCUGUUCGCCAGUGAUGUUGGGGCUGAUACCACUGGGAGGAAGACAUUUUCAGGCCUGGGACUGACAAUGGUGCCGUUGUUAUGCCACAACUGGAGCCAGGCGAGCGGGCCAAACGUAACCGGACUCAGCAGCUUCUACGGACACAGCUAAUGGCAGAGGAGAAGAGAUCUGAGAGGAUGAAGGAGGAAGCUAAGAAGGAGCAAGAGGGAGCUGGACAAGAGUACAUUGAGGUGGACUGUUUGUGAAAUAAAAGGCUGAAAGACAAACACAGAGCUGGGCCUCUUGCUGUUGGACUAUUGUCAGUGAAGACUUUCUGAUGAAGAGGAGGGUGAAGUCUGACAAACUGGACUGAAAACACACUUAAUGCCGGGUGCAGACUGCACUAUAUCAGCCCGAUAAUGAAGCACAGAGCGCUCUUGUUGCGGUGAGGUGGACCCAUCUUACAGAGGAAAGGGCCGAGGCACAGGAUUGAGAAACUGUUUCACCACAGGACUAUCGAGCUGGUUUCCACCACAUUCACUCAUCCUGACAGUCGGUGGGAAACCACCUCAGCAAAGCUCAUCCGUUGAGAUGUCGCUGAGUCAGUUUGGGGUCAUGACAUCAUCAUCAUGAGAUGGAAAGGCUGGUGAGCGUUGACCACAGGCUGCGACAGAAGAGUUGGUGUCUGUGUGUCGUGGUUUGCAGCUGUUGUUUCUUGGCAAAAAAAAAAAAGUGGAGUUGCCUCAGGGAAUAAUUUGCUAAAAUGUUGGAAGGCAGAACAAAUUCAAGAGGUUUUAAAAAGGCAGAUUUUUAUUGUCGCAUCGCACCAAAUGACCGUAAAACACCUGCAGGAGGUUGAUAGUGUUGUUAAUUGUCCAGGUGCUUCGAGGUUUUUUUAGGCUUUCCAAACCGCCUUUUCCGGCUUGUGGGCUGUUGUGGAGCAAAAUCUCCACACCCAGUGAUGUCAUGCUGAUGCUGUUGAAAUCCCAGCUGGUGGUGAUCACACAAGUAAAAAGAUUACUUACCCUUCUGGAGUCCUGAGCUUUUAUUUACAGUAACAGCUUGAUUUAUAGACAGACUUAGAAAAUCUGUUGAUGUGCGGCUUUCACACAGAAUCUCUCUAAAGACCAAAAGACAUUUUUAUUUUAAGUAUUUAUUGAAGUAGUAUUAGUUUUAUAUGGGUUUUAAAUUUUCUCUGCUGUUAAUGUGUACAUGAAUACAGAAAGAAUAUAUAUAUUUUUUUACAACCUUCAGCGUUUAUCUAAUGCUAUUUUCAGUGAGUACCACUAAAGAUUUUGAUGUUUAUAAUUAGCGGCUGGCGUCAUUCCGGUCUUGGCAGGAUACCAUGUCGGCUACAUGCAGUUCAAAAAGGUGCAAAACAAGGACAAUAAGGAAUGCAUAGAGAAGUGAACUACAUCUAUGUCAUUAUAUCUCAUAAUAACAUAAAGUUCAUCCCAGGCACACAUUUUCCAAAACACCAGUGAAGCAUCUUCUGGCCUGAAUGCCUGAUUGAAUUUGUUCUUCCUCUCUGUGUGUUGUAGAUAAACCACAUUACCUGUAUCUUCAUAAUCUAAAUAAAUAAACUUAAUCGAUCGGAAUUGAUCGAUUAUUUUUUUUGCAAAAA